CCAGAGUAGAGCGACAAACAGUCCUAGUGCAAGACAAUGACGGCACUGUGUAACGCUGCCUGUCCUCAGUGCUGCUAUGAAAAGCAUCUCAAUUCAUUUGGAGAGCUAUUUUCUGUCUUUCUGCUCUGACACAAAGAGCUAAAGUGCUUAAAUACAAUGUGACACUGCACUGAGAGCAUUUGUGCAUGUGCACUACUGUGCAAUGGGAUUUCUUCCUGUGCCUGGGCUCUGCAAAGGGCAGAGAGUUUAGAUGUUAGCAUGAAAGCAUGUUUAUUUAUGAAAGCCUUAUGUAAAUGCACAUAAAGACUAAUGAGAUGUUUUUGUGUGUUUCGUGGAAAGAAAACAUGAAUGAGUUUGCACGUUUAUGUUUGCAGAGGCUGAGUGACAGUGAUGGAGUUUGAAAAUGGAUUUCUAUGCGUCUGUUUGCUAUUGUUUCUGAGCACUGAGGAGGUAUUAAUGGAUACAGUACUGGAUGCUGACACGCUGAACAAACAGCUUGAUUGUUUGAGGUUCAGAGGCAGAGUGGCUUAGAGAGAAAUAAAGGAAGUCAAAGUAAGCUGGGAGAAUAUUAGCAAUGUUUGUUGUUAGUUGAGGGAAUUUAUCUGACUGAAGCUAAAUGUAAUUGGUAUCUCUUCCCCUUCCGCUUGUCUCUUAUCACUGUUCUGAUGCAGUUAAUUCUACUACAGGGCCGGAUCGGCAACAUUAGAUAAUCUCAACCACCCAGAGAAACGCGAUCCUCUGCGAGAGAGAGGCAGACGGGCCAUCAGAAAUAAGAAGACACUAUGGCCUGCUCGUUUGGAAACAUCAGUAAGGAGGACUGAUGACGAGUGGGGGAGGAGCAGCAGUCAGAUGCCGACCUGCUGCUGUUUAAACAGUGUGAUCAAGAACCCCCUGGACGGCACACGAUCACAGAGCGUUGCAUCUUUUGGGUUUUAUGACAGAGGUGAUCAGAAAACCUCACAAACUCAUUGUGCUAAUCAAAGACACUGAAUGCAUUUUAAACAGUAAAUGAUACAUUACUCUAUGUCUUAAACUAUUAUUAUUAUUUCUAUAUACAGUAAACUACUUAAAAUGAUCUUUAACAUGAGGUCAGAACAUGAACAUAGCAGCUGACGAUGAUGGAAAACGCGUCAUUCUCAGCUGCCCUGGUGACUUUUCGUGGGCUCAGGGACCUCUUUAGCUCUUAAACAGC
rnacentral:lncRNA from 1 species